GUGAGGAAUUUUCCGCAAUGGGCGAAAGCCUGACGGAGCAAUGCCGCGUGAAGGAUGAAGGCCUAUGGGUUGUAAACUUCUUUUCUCAGAAAAGAAUUAUGACGGUAUCUGAGGAAUAAGCAUCGGCUAACUCUGUGCCAGCAGCCGCGGUAAGACAGAGGAUGCAAGCGUUAUCCGGAAUGAUUGGGCGUAAAGCGUCUGUAGGUUGUUUAAAAAGUAUUCUGUCAAAGAUUAGGGCUUAACCCUAGAUAGGCAGAAUAAACUUUUAAGCUAGAGUGAGGUAGAGGCAGAGGGAAUUCCCGGUGGAGCGGUGAAAUGCGUAGAUAGCGGGAGGAACACCAAAGGCGAAGGCACUCUGCUGGGCCAAUACUAACACUGAGAGACGAAAGCGAGGGGAGCAAAUGGGAUUAGAAACCCCGGUAGUCC
rnacentral:rRNA from 1 species